ACUAAAACUAGCCCAAAAACCCCACUCCAAUAAAUAAUUAAGAUAAAAUAAAACAAAACAUUUACCCCAAACUAAAGUAUAGGAGAUAGAAAUAUUAAAUACGGCGCUAUAGAGGAAGUACCGCAAGGGAACGAUGAAAGAAAAAUCAAAAGUACAAAAAAGCAAAGAUUACCCCUUGUACCUCUUGCAUAAUGAAUUAACUAGUACAAACUUAACAAAACGAAUUUUAGUUAAGUAACCCGAAACCAGACGAGCUACUUACAAACAGUUUACCAAGAACUAACUCGUCUAUGUGGCAAAAUAGUGAGAAGAUUUGUUAAGUUAGUGGUGGACAUGCCUAACGAGCCUGGUGAUAGCUGGUUGUCCAGAAAAUGAAUCUUAGUUCAGCUUUAAAGAUACCAAAAAGUCCAAAUAAACCUCACUGUAUCUUUAAAAGUUAAUCUAAAAAGGUACAGCCUUUUAGAAACGGAUACAACCUUAACUAGAGAGUAAGAUUUAACAAUACCAUAGUAGGCCCAAAAGCAGCCACCAAUUAAGAAAGCGUUAAAGCUCAACAAUAAAAACUCCAUAAAUUCCAAAAAUAGACAACAACUCCUAACCCUAUUACUGGACUAAUCUAUUACAAAAUAGAAGCAAUAAUGUUAAUAUGAGUAACAAGAAACACUUUCUCCUUGCAUAAGUUUAAGUCAGUAUCUGAUAAUACCCUGACCAUUAACAGCUAAUAAAAAUAGCCCAAUAAUAAAUAAUUUAUUUAUUAUACUGUUAAUCCAACACAGGAGUGCACCAAGGAAAGAUUAAAAGAAGUAAAAGGAACUCGGCAAACACAAACCCCGCCUGUUUACCAAAAACAUCACCUCCAGCAUCCCUAGUAUUGGAGGCACUGCCUGCCCAGUGACAACCGUUAAAC
rnacentral:rRNA from 1 species